AUGGCCAACAAUCCAACUCUGCAACCAAGGCUAUGGCUGAAGUUCUUACUAAGCACACUAAGAAGCCAAUGUUUCUUAAGCGUGUGGGGGUCCAGCACGUGCAUGAGAGAUCCAGUCGUAGCGACCAUGAGGCAGAACAGGAAGCGCAGAAGAGGAGAAAUGCUGAGCUUCGGGCCCUUGUUGACACCUUGA
rnacentral:rRNA from 1 species